rnacentral:rRNA from 1 species
UGAGUAACACGUAUGCAAUCCACCUGUAACAGGGGGAUAACCCGGAGAAAUCCGGACUAAUACCCCAUAAUAUGGGCGCUCCGCAUGGAGAGCCCAUUAAAGAGAGCAAUUUUGGUUACAGAUGAGCAUGCGCUCCAUUAGCCAGUUGGCGGGGUAACGGCCCACCAAAGCGACGAUGGAUAGGGGUUCUGAGAGGAAGGUCCCCCACAUUGGAACUGAGACACGGUCCAA